rnacentral:misc_RNA from 1 species
GAUGAAGAACGUAGCGAAAUGCGAUACGUAAUGUGAAUUGCAGAAUUCAGUGAAUCAUCGAGUCUUUGAACGCACAUUGCGUCCCCUGGUAUUCCGGGGGGCAUGCCUGUCCGAGCGUCAUUGCUGCCCUCAAGCACGGCUUGUGUGUUGGGCCUCCGUCCUCCUCCCGGGGGACGGGCCCGAAAGGCAGCGGCGGCACCGCGUCCGGUCCUCGAGCGUAUGGGGCUUCGUCACCCGCUCUUGUAGGCCCGGCCGGCGCUUGCCGACACAUCAAUCUUUUUUCCAGGUUGACCUCGGAUCAGGUAGGGAUACCCGCUGAACUUAAGCAUAUCAAUAAGCGGAGGA